GGCGCCAUAGCCAAGCGGUAAGGCAUGGGUUUGCAAAACCCUGAUCGCCGGUUCGAAUCCGGCUGGCGCCU
rnacentral:tRNA from 2 species